rnacentral:rRNA from 1 species
AUCAGGGGUAAACCUGUGGAACUCGAACGAGCGAACGGGGAGACUCAUCGUUCUUCCGGGGGUCCGCGGCGUGCGAUUACUUUGCAGAUUCGUCUGYGAGGGGUYGCGCGUCGUUGCUGGUUCUCGGAGUGCGUGCACUUCUCCCUUAGUAAAACACUGCGACCCGUUGAGCAGCCGGUCGAACGCACUAGCGGUUGUCCCGUCUUCUCCGGAAGAWGGAGCCGCGGUGUCGUGGCUGGCUUUCGACGGUAAYGAACGAGGUUCGCGUCCGCCUUUAGGCGUCCGUGAUGCGGCGGCGUCGCUCCCCUUCAGGUCUUCCUCGCGAAAGCGUUGCAAGUGYUUGUCGCGGUUGAUGGAGGCGGUUUUAAUCGUUUCCAUCGCGUGUGGCGUGUCUGCUGYGUCACUCGGACGGGACGCGUCCCGGUCUGCGGUGGUUUUGUUUCGGGCACUCACAGGACCC